ACACACACACACACACACACGCGGUGGUGGUGUCCAUGGGGGGUCCUCUGGAUGAUUAGAGGCCUCCUCUGAUUGCUCCUCUCCUAAUGGCUCCGGUUGCUCCUCAUCAGAGGGGGAAACUCUCGCCGGUGGUUUUCGGGUCCCGUGGUGGGUGUUCGCCGCCGCCGCCGCCGCCCCCGCGUGGCUGACGGGAACUUGGCACGGUUCGAACUUCGUGUCCCGGUGGCGGUGUGCGUAUCGGUAAACGGGGGGGGGGGAUGUGUUUAAAAAAAACUAGCCGAAGGUUUCUGGCCGCACGCCGCCACGUCAGAUGACGUUAGCUAAAAUAGCAUUUUACAGGCACAUGACAUCUGCUCGCACACACCAGCGCUGUGCAUGUUGGCACAGACACACACACGCACACACACACACCAAAGCCUUGUCCUGGCUAGUAAAGAGUUGCCCGGUUAUGAGGCCCAAUAAACAUGUCAGGCUCUCCAGAUGGUCGAAUGAAGCCGCGUUCCAGCGGCUUUGUUAGUGCGUGUUGAUGUGUUUACCUUCCAUCGGAGUUUGCAGGUGUGUUUUCGUCAAAGGCCGUUUUUAAAGUGCGCGUUGUGCAGGCGGGCGUGAAGGUGCGAGCCGUCUGACCUCGGCUUAUUUAGAAAGUAACACGUGCGUGAACCUCAGUGGGGACAUUUUCGUACUCACUUUUAUAUGUUUUUUUUUAAGUACUUUCCUGACCAUUAUAUCACAUGUUCCACAUGCGCACUACUAGAUGAGAUGAUGUCUGGCCAACACUGACGGCAAUAACUUCUGUUGGCCGUAAUUAACUGCAGAAGAGGUGAACAUGUGCCAGAAUAAGCGGUUGGUGGGAAGAAAUGACAGAAUAUUUGCCUUUUUUUAAAAGGUUUAAAAGAUUUUCAAAACCGAAUGAGGAAUUGGAUUCAUAAGUCAGAUGUUCCUUAAGAAUACAGACAAUGUGAUGAAUGUAUGUUCAUCUUUACAAACGUGCUUCUGUUGCAUUAUUGUUCGUUGUCAUUGGGAGACAUACGACACGCUGCUCAGUACGGAUUAGCAAACGUUCCCCGACCGACGUGCUAAGCUAAGCUAGUGACCAAACCAAUGUGUUUGAUCGGACGCCACAAAGGAACCCACAAACACAGCCUCACACUACAGAGGACAUGCAGUUAGUGGGAAGAUGGUAGUUCUCUCUGUGUGCUUAUGAAACAUUGACCACUACACACCCACACGCUCACACACACCGACACGCUCACACACGCGUGUGGAGUCCUGAGAGUUCUCUCAACAGGCGUGUUCUUCCUGUGAGUGCUUCCCCUCUGCAGCCCCUCUGCCAAUCGUCACGUAGGUCUGCAGCCGUGGGCGUUCAUUGACUGCGCUUAAACAACGGAGGAGGACAACAUCGUGAUGGAGUGAUACAGAAGAGGAGAGCGGUGGAAUAAUAAUGGUGCGACAGAGCGACGGGGGAGAUGGGGGGAGAGAUGGUCUGAUCGAGGGGAGGGAAUUAACUCAUUUAUGGAAGGCUUCAUUUUCUUCCAAUCUAUCUUUCUGCCUUAAUCCCUGACUAAUGGAGAUACAGGUCUGACUCCACCAGAGGAGAGGGAGAAAGGGGAGGUUGAUGAAGUGGAGGUGUAGGGAUCAAGUCAAGGGAGGGGGGGUGGGGGGGGCGAUCAGAGAAGGAAUCCACGGAGGGAGGGCAACGAGGAGAGGAACAGGGCGAUAAUUGAACUUCACCGUUCGGCGCUUUGACAAAAUCCACCUUCUCUAAUCACCCGAGGGCGAAGACGGGAGACAAGCCAGCGAGGAAAAGGGGAGGGCGGGGGGAGAAACGAGAGGCGAGAGA
ensembl:lncRNA